rnacentral:tRNA from 1 species
GGUGAUGUGGCUUAGUGGUAGAGUGCUUGCCUAGCAUGCAUGAAGGCCUGGGUUCAAUUCCACAUAAACA